rnacentral:rRNA from 1 species
GAUGAACGCUGGCGGCGUGCCUAAUACAUGCAAGUCGAGCGAACGGACGAGAAGCUUGCUUCUCUGAUGUUAGCGGCGGGCGGGUGAGUAAAACGUGGAUAACCUACCUAUAAGACUGGGAUAACUUCGGGAAACCGGAGCUAAUACCGGAUAAUAUUUUGAACCGCAUGGUUCAAAAGUGAAAGACGGUCUUGCUGUCACUUAUAGAUGGGUCCGCGCUGCAUUAGCUAGUUGGUAAGGUAACGGCUUACCAAGGCAACGAUGCAUAGCCGACCUGAGAGGGUGAUCGGCCACACUGGAACUGAGGCACGGUCCAGACUCCUACGGGAGGCAGCAGUAGGGAAUCUUCCGCAAUGGGCGAAAGCCUGACGGAGCAACGCCGCGUGAGUGAUGAAGGUCUUCGGAUCGUAAAACUCUGUUAUUAGGGAAGAACAUAUGUGUAAGUAACUGUGCACAUCUUGACGGUACCUAAUCAGAAAGCCACGGCUAACUACGUG